rnacentral:tRNA from 1 species
GCCUGGGUGGCUCAGUCGGUUGAGCGUCCGACUUCGGCUCGGGUCAUGAUCUCACAGUCUGUGAGUUCGAGCCCCGUGUCGGGCU